rnacentral:misc_RNA from 1 species
UACGUAGGGGGCAAGCGUUGUCCGGAAUUAUUGGGCGUAAAGCGCGCGCAGGCGGUUUUGUAAGUCGAGUGUUUAAGCUCGGGGCUCAACCCCGAUUCGCAUUCGAAACUGCAAGACUUGAGUGCAGAAGAGGAAAGUGGAAUUCCACGUGUAGCGGUGAAAUGCGUAGAGAUGUGGAGGAACACCAGUGGCGAAGGCGACUUUCUGGGCUGUAACUGACGCUGAGGCGCGAAAGCGUGGGGAGCAAACAGG